GAGAAGCUCGCGUCUGAUUAGCUAGUUGGUGGGGUAAGAGCCUACCAAGGCGACGAUCAGUAGCUGGUCUGAGAGGAUGAUCAGCCACACUGGGACUGAGACACGGCCCAGACUCCUACGGGAGGCAGCAGUGGGGAAUUUUCCGCAAUGGGCGAAAGCCUGACGGAGCAAUACCGCGUGAGGGAGGAAGGCUCUUGGGUUGUAAACCUCUUUUCUCAAGGAAGAACAAAAUGACGGUACUUGAGGAAUAAGCAUCGGCUAACUCCGUGCCAGCAGCCGCGGUAAUACGGAGGAUGCAAGCGUUAUCCGGAAUGAUUGGGCGUAAAGCGUCCGUAGGUGGCUAUGAAAGUCUGCUGUUAAAGAGUCUGGCUCAACCAGAUAAAGGCGGUGGAAAUUACAUAGCUAGAGUGCGUUCGGGGCAGAGGGAAUUCCUGGUGUAGCGGUGAAAUGCGUAGA
rnacentral:rRNA from 1 species